rnacentral:rRNA from 1 species
CGCCAGACUCCUACGGGAGGCAGCAGUGGGGAAUAUUGCACAAUGGGCGAAAGCCUGAUGCAGCGACGCCGCGUGAAGGAUGAAGUAUUUCGGUAUGUAAACUUCUAUCAGCAGGGAAGAAAAUGACGGUACCUGACUAAGAAGCCCCGGCUAACUACGUGCCAGCAGCCGCGGUAAUACGUAGGGGGCAAGCGUUAUCCGGAUUUACUGGGUGUAAAGGGCGUGUAGCCGGGCUGACAAGUCAGAUGUGAAAUCCGGGGGCGCAACCCCCGAACUGCAUUUGAAACUGUUGGUCUUGAGUAUCGGAGAGGCAGGCGGAAUUCCUAGUGUAGCGGUGAAAUGCGUAGAUAUUAGGAGGAACACCAGUGGCGAAGGCGGCCUGCUGGACGACAACUGACGGUGAGGCGCGAAAGCGUGGGGAGCAAACAGGAUUAGAUACCCGCGUACUU